rnacentral:rRNA from 1 species
GAGGUAAAACCCGUCGCUCUCUGUGUUACCUCCUCUGAGGCACACGUUAAAGAUCGUUCCGCGUUGUGAGUCUAACACCAGUUGUAUAAACUUUUUACAACCGGUAGCGAUGGAUCCCUUGGCACGUCAUUCGAUGAAGACCGUUGCAAAUUGCGAUAAAGUGAUGUGAUGCGCAAGUCCACCACUUAUACGUGAAUCAUCGAGUUGUUGAACGCAUUGCACCGCGCCCUAAUCCGGCUGCGGUAUGCCCCUUUGAGCGUCAUUGUAUUCCUUCGGGAGUCCUUUUUUCCAAAGGACCCGAGUUCGGAGUCCUCGGUCCUCUGGAUCGUGUUCUCUUAGAUGUGUCGCGCCGAUCGCCUGAUGGGUCUCUAAUGCCUAAGCGUGGAGUUCCUUCAGAGUCCGAGAGGUGCUUGACCGGGUGUUGAGCUCGCGUCACCAAGUCUGCCUCACAAGCAGUACUACAACGCAUGACCUCAUUGGGGUAGGACAACCCGCUAGACUUAAGCAUAUUAAUCAGCGGAGGAAAAGAAACUAACCAGGAUUCCCUCAGUAACUGCGAGUGAAGCGGGAUCGGCUCAAUGUGUGAAUCUGGCUUGGGGUACAUCCCGGGUCCGAGUUGUGCACUAUGGAUGCUUCGUCUGCGUUUGUAAAGGCGGUGGAAGUCCGUUGAAACACGGCACCUCAGAGGGUCACAGUCCUGUACCAUCCGUCUGCACUCGCGCCAAUGACAAGUGCUCCUCGAGUCGCGUAGUUUUGUAAUGCUGCGCCAAGUGGGAGGUAGAGACCUUCUAAGGCUAAAUAUGAUGACGUGACCGAUAGCACACAAGUACCGCGAGGGAAAGGUGAAAAGCAACCAUGAAAAAUGGGUUGAAACAGUAGUGAAAUCGCUACCGGGAUAAGGGCUAUCGGGUGCUGGGGCUCUUUGGGUGUGCUUUAGUGCUACCCUCGGAGACGGCCCGCGAGGGUUGAUGUUGGGGCGAUAGACGCGCUGCAGGAAUUCGGCUGCCUUUGGGCAGUGUUGUAGCCUGCGGUUGCUGAUCCUCCUGCGACCU